rnacentral:rRNA from 1 species
CCGCGUGAGUGAUGAAGGUUUUCGGAUCGUAAAGCUCUGUUGCCAGGGAAGAACGUCUUAAGAGUAACUGCUCUAAGAGUGACGGUACCUGAGAAGAAAGCCCCGGCUAACUACGUGCCAGCAGCCGCGGUAAUACGUAGGGGGCGAGCGUUGUCCGGAAUUAUUGGGCGUAAAGCGCGCGCAGGCGGCUGUUUAAGUCUGGUGUUUAAUCCUGGGGCUCAACCCCGGGUCGCACUGGAAACUGGACGGCUUGAGUGCAGAAGAGGAGAGUGGAAUUCCACGUGUAGCGGUGAAAUGCGUAGAUAUAGGAAGGAACACCAGUGGCGAAGG